CAAUGAUAUGACGUCAUUUAACUACGUAAUGAGUAUUACCUGUAUUGUGGUAACUGUCAGAGUUUUGUUUCCAAACGGACUUCCAUCGCCAAAGCCUUGUUUAUUGCAGUGGCGGAUCCGUAAAAUCCAUUCACGGGGGCCCCAAUGGCAUGUGGUCAAACAUUCCGAAGUAAUUCCUCGAUACUCCAACGUCAGAAAAAAGAAGAAGAAAAAAGACGACAAAUUUAGGGGUGCGGGCCCCUGGGUACCCGCCCCCCCCCCCCCCCCCUUAGAUCCUCCACUGGAUUGUACUUAUAUUGUACGUACUGCACAAAUCUACCCGUUUCAAAGUGCAUAAAUAUAGGGGGUUGCGUUUGACUAUAUAAAAAAAAGCCAAAGCUAUAUUGCAAUAAUCAUAUUUAGUCAUGUAACAAUCCUUUAAUUAUAAAAUCCGUGGGAAAUAAAAUACUAUAAAUCACC